rnacentral:rRNA from 1 species
UCUGGUUGAUCCUGCCAGUAGUCAUAUGCUUGUCUCAAAGAUUAAGCCAUGCAUGUCUAAGUAUAAAUAGUAUACAGUGAAACUGCGAAUGGCUCAUUAAAACAGUUAUAGUUUAUUUGAUAAUUGACAAUUACAUGGAUAACCGUGGUAAUUCUAGAGCUAAUACAUGCUUAAACGCCCGACUUUAUGGAAGGGUGGUAUUUAUUAGACUGAAGCCAAUAUUCCUUGUGUCUAUUGCGGUGAUUCAUAAUAACUGAUCGAAUCUCUUUUUGAGAUAAAUCAUUCAAGUUUCUGCCCUAUCAGCUCUCGAUGGUAGUGUAUUGGACUACCAUGGCAGUAACGGGUAACGAAGAAUUAGGGUUCGAUUUCGGAGAGGGAGCAUGGGAAACGGCUACCACAUCUAAGGAAGGCAGCAGGCGCGUAAAUUACCCAAUCCUGACUCAGGGAGGUAGUGACAAGAAAUAGCAAACCGGGAACCUCAUGGUUUCACGGUAUUGCAAUGAGAACAAUUUAAAACCCUUAGCGAGAAUCAAGUGGAGGACAAGUCUGGUGCCAGCACCCGCGGUAAUUCCAGCUCCACUAGCGUAUAUUAAAGUUGUUGCAGUUAAAAAGCUCGUAGUUGAACCUCUGUCUGGGGCUAGUUUUGGCUUUGGUCAGGCUAGUUCUAGGCAUCCGCCUACAAGACUUAGAGGGCAUUCAGUUGUUCACUAGGAGGAGUAGGCAUUUUACUUUGAAAAAAUUAGAGUGUUUAAGGCAGGCAAUCGCCCGCAUAUAUUAGCAUGGAAUAAUAGAAUAGGACACUUUUCCAUUUCGUUGGUUAUUGGAAUCGUGUAAUGAUUAAUAGGGACAGUUGUGGGCAUUUGUAUUUAAUUGUUAGAGGUGAAAUUCUUGGAUUUAUUAAAGACAAACUAACGCGAAAGCAUUUGCCAGGGAUGUUUUCAUUAAUCAAGAACGAAAGUUAGGGGAUCAAAGACGAUCAGAUACCGUCCUAGUCUUAACUAUAAACUAUUCCGACUCAAUGUUUGACUGGCUUAUAUAACCAGUUGAGCGUUGUAUGAGAAAUCAAAGUCUUUAGGUUCUGGGGGGAGUAUGGUUGCAAAGCUGAAACUUAAAGGAAUUGACGGAAGAGCACAACCAGGAGUGGAUUCUGCGGCUUAAUUUGACUCAACACGGGGAAACUUACCAGGUUAAAACAAUAGUGGGAUUGACAGUUUGAGAGCGCUUUCUUGAUUGGUUGGGUGGUGGUGCAUGGCCGUUCUUAGUUGGU